rnacentral:rRNA from 1 species
UGAGUAACCUGCCCUUAACUCUGGGAUAAGCCUGGGAAACUGGGUCUAAUACCGGAUAUGACCUCUCAUCGCAUGGUGAGGGGUGGAAAGCUUUAUUGUGGUUUUGAUGGACUCGCGGCCUAUCAGCUUGUUGGUGAGGUAAUGGCUCACCAAGGCGACGACGGGUAGCCGGCCUGAGAGGGUGACCGGCCACACUGGGACUGAGACACGGCCCAGACUCCUACGGGAGCAG